UUGUCGAAGAAGCUGUUGGUCCUGGUGAUGCUCAGCUGAGGGCGGAAGAUUGUAACAUUAGUCUGGGGAGAUACGUAACAACAAGCUUGGUUCAGCAGGUGAUGUUAAGCUGAGGGUGAAACAACAAGCUUGGUUCAGUAGGUGAUGUUAAACUGAAGGUGAAACAACAAGCUUGGUUCAGUAGGUGAUGUUAAACUGAAGGUGAAACAACAAGCUUGGUUCAGUAGGUGAUGUUAAACUGAGGGUGAAACAACAAGCUUGGUUCAGUAGGUGAUGUUAAACUGAGGGUGAAACAACAAGCUUGGUUCAGUAGGUGAUGUUAAACUGAGGGUGAAACAACAAGCUUGGUUCAGUAGGUGAUGUUAAACUGAGGGUGAAACAACAAGCUUGGUUCAGUAGGUGAUGUUAAACUGAAGGUGAAACAUAACAAGCUUGGUUCAGUAGGUGAUGUUAAACUGAGGGUGAAACAACAAGCUUGGUUCAGUAGGUGAUGUUAAACUGAAGGUGAAACAUAACAAGCUUGGUUCAGUAGGUGAUGUUAAGCUGAGGGUGAAACAUAACAAGCUUGGUUCAGUAGGUGAUGUUAAACUGAGGGUGAAACAUAACAAGCUUGGUUCAGUAGGUGAUGUUAAACUGAGGGUGAAACAUAACAAGCUUGGUUCAGUAGGUGAUGUUAAACUGAGGGUGAAACAUAACAAGCUUGGUUCAGUAGGUGAUGUUAAACUGAGGGUGAAACAACAAGCUUGGUUCAGUAGGUGAUGUUAAACUGAAGGUGAAACAACAAGCUUGGUUCAGUAGGUGAUGUUAAACUGAAGGUGAAACAACAAGCUUGGUUCAGUAGGUGAUGUUAAACUGAGGGUGAAACAUAACAAGCUUGGUUCAGUAGGUGAUGUUAAGCUGAGGGUGAAACAACAAGCUUGGUUCAGUAGGUGAUGUUAAACUGAAGGUGAAACAUAACAAGCUUGGUUCAGUAGGUGAUGUUAAGCUGAGGGUGAAACAACAAGCUUGGUUCAGUAGGUGAUGUUAAACUGAAGGUGAAACAUAACAAGCUUGGUUCAGUUGAUGUUAAGCUGAGGGCGAAAUAUGAUAACACUAAGCUUGGUUCAGUUGUUGUUUUAGCUUCGGGUGACAGCUUUACCAGUUUGAGAAUAUGGGCCAAAGGGGAGGACAGAAGAAGAGAAGAGCGAACACAU